rnacentral:rRNA from 1 species
UACAGGGGGGGCGAGCGUUGUUCGGAAUUACUGGGCGUAGAGGGUUUGUAGGUGGCUUGCUCAGUCAGACGUGAAAUCCCUCAGCUUAACUGGGGAACUGCGUCUGAUACUAGCGAGCUUGAGUGCAGGAGAGGAACGCGGAAUUCCAGGUGUAGCGGUGAAAUGCGUAGAUAUCUGGAGGAACACCGGUGGCGAAGGCGGCGUUCUGGACUGCAACUGACACUGAAAAACGAAAGCCAGGGGAGCAAACGGG